UAUGGAAAGACUUCACCACUCU
rnacentral:miRNA from 1 species